rnacentral:rRNA from 1 species
AUGCUAGAAGAUCCCAGUGUCCAAGUGAAGGCAUGGAUAUCGCUGGUGAGGGAGCUGGCCUACGAGUACGACACCGAGGAUUGGAUCGACAGGUUCAUUCAUCGCCUCGGCCUUGGCGGGCAACAGGGCGGCAUCAACGAGUUCUUCCGCGGCACUGUUCGCCGUCUAAAGACACCUCGAUCUCGGCGCCGAGUAGCCAACCAAAUUGGCAAUCUGAAGGCUCGUGUCAUGGAAGUGCAAGAGCAGAAGAAUCGUUACAAGCUGGAUGAUAUUCCUCGUGCCACCUCUGGCCAUGUUGCUGUGGAUCCUCUGCUGUCUGCUCUUUUUGCCGAGGAGGCACACCUUGUGGGUGUUGAAGGUCCCAGAGAUGAUCUUGCCAGGUGGAUGGGGGAAGAAGGAAACGGCUCGACCGAGCAUCAUCGCAGGGCGCUGUCUAUUGUUGGGUUUGGAGGACUGGGAAAGACAACACUGGCGAAUGAGGUACAUCGCAAGAUUCGGGGCCAUUUUCGUUGUCGUGCUUUUGUAUCAGUCUCGCAAAAGCCAGAUGCAGAGAAGAUUAUCAAGGAUGUCAUCUCCCAAGUGAUCUCUCAAGUAACUUGCCAGGAUGGUUUCACAGAAGAUAUCAACAUUUGGGAUGAAAACAAAUCCAUAGCAAAGCUAAGAGAACUGCUACAAGAUAAGAGUUGA